GGAGUACUCCCUCCGUCCGGAAAUACUUGUCAUCAAAAUGGAUAAAAGGAAAUGUAUCUAGACAUAUUUUAGUUUUAGAUACAUCUCUUUUUAUCCAUUUUGAUGUCAAGUAUUUUCGGACGGAGGGAGUAUUUA
rnacentral:pre_miRNA from 1 species